rnacentral:rRNA from 1 species
CAAUAGCGUAUAUUAAAGUUGUUGCGGUUAAAAGCUCGUAGUUGGAUUUCUGCCGAGGACGACCGGUCCGCCCUCUGGGUGAGUAUCUGGCUUGGCCUGGGCAUCUUCUUGGAGAACGUAGCUGCACUUGACUGUGUGGUGCGGUAUCCAGGACUUUUACUUUGAGGAAAUUAGAGUGUUUCAAGCAGGCAUGCGCCUUGAAUACAUUAGCAUGGAAUAAUAAGAUAGGACCUCGGUUCUAUUUUGUUGGUUUCUAGAUCUGAAGUAAUGAUUGAUAGGGAUAGUUGGGGGUGGCUAGUAUUAAGGGGCCGAGAGGUGAAAUUCUUGGAUUCUCUUAAGACUAACUUAUGCGAAAGCAUUCACCAAGGAUGUCUUCUUUAAUUCAAGAACGAAAGUUAGGGGGAGUCGAAGAUGAUCAGAUACCGU